CAAAUACUCCCCCCGUUCGGAAUUACUCGUCCAAGAAAUGAAUAUAUCUAAAUGUAUUUUAGUUGUAGAUACAUUCAUUUUUGUGACAAGUAAUUCCGAACGGAGGGAGUACUUG
rnacentral:pre_miRNA from 1 species